AUGGGCUUUUUGCUGUGCAGAGCCAAGCAAAAGGAGAAAAUGAUGGCUUGCAUUCACCUGCCUAGCGCUGCUCCAGCAAACCCGAGCCAGCACACGGGCAGGCAGCUCUGCGUUUUGGGGGGGUCCAGCACCAGGACAGACCCUGCCCUCCUCAGGCACAGCACGGCGCAUCCCAAAACGUUCCGAGCAAGCAGGGGAUGGGACCAGCACAUCCCCAGGGCUCACAGCAGCCACCAAACUCAUCACAACCUUAGUGCAAUGCAAAGGAAUGAGAGCCUCUCACCCCCCCCCCAGCAAUGACCAGCACCAUCCUGCCCUGCGGGGAAGCUUUGCUGGUGGUGCUGGGCACAGGGCAGGACCCCAGCAUGCUGCCUUUGCGCACACGGGCUGCUCUGUGCAAACAGAGCCUCUGCUUGUUAUUUUUCCUGCCCUGGCUGAAACGCAGCAUUUCAGGCUAAGAGCUCAGGUGUCUGAGCCUCUGAGAGCUGAGGUCUGUGAUGGAAAUGAUGAUACACCUCGAGUAUAAUGGUGCAAACAGCCAUUAUCAUAAUUUUGAUACCAAUUACAUGUAAUUUGAACAAAGGAGUUGUCCUAGCUUUGAUUUGCUCUCCUUGUAUUCCUGGCUGGUUUCAUUAAAAUCACUUACAGAGAUUUGCAGCAGUUCUGUUUGAAGUGCUGUCAUUAGGGUUUUCAUUUGCAGUGGCGUCGGAAAUAAUUUCCCAGCGGGCUGUUUAUGUUUUACCAAGGGCCGUGCAGCGUGUGGGCCAGCACUCGUGGCCAGACGGACGAGUCACAGAGCCAGUCCUGCCAGCCACAAGGCAGCGUGUUCCAGUAACACCGCGCUGAAUUUUGAACCCAAAUCUUUCUAAAUUAAAGCCCCACGGGCCAGGCUGUUCCCUGCUUCAUGCCUGCACCACCUCAGAUGGGGAACCCCAAAGCGUUAGCGCUUCUAGGGGCUGGGUGUCCCUGCUCCACAGCGUGUCCCCUAUAUGUGAACAGCUUUUUCACUUUUAAGUCUCUGCACUGAAUCACCAUUCAAAAUCAAUCACCAAGUUUUCUAACUUUUUUGGCCCUCAGUAACAGGAAAAUAAACCUCCCUUAACAAGACGGG
rnacentral:lncRNA from 1 species